UAGGGAAUCUUCCACAAUGGACGCAAGUCUGAUGGGGCAACGCCGCGUGAGUGAAGAAGGUAUUCGGAUCGUAAAACUCUGUUGUUAGAGAAGAACACGAGUGAGAGUAACUGUUCAUUCGAUGACGGUAUCUAACCAGCAAGUCACGGCUAACUACGUGCCAG
rnacentral:rRNA from 1 species